GACGAACGCUGGCGGCGUGCUUAACACAUGCAAGUCGAACGGAAAGGCCCUGCUUUUGUGGGAUGCUCGAGUGGCGAACGGGUGAGUAACACGUGAGUAACCUGCCCUGGACUUUGGGAUAACUUCAGGAAACUUGGGCUAAUACCGGAUAGGAGCUCCUGCUGCAUGGUGGGGGUUGGAAAGUUUCGGCGGUUGGGGAUGGACUCGCGGCUUAUCAGCUUGUUGGUGGGGUAGUGGCUUACCAAGGCUUUGACGGGUAGCCGGCCUGAGAGGGUGACCGGCCACAUUGGGCCUGAGAUACGGCCCAGACUCCUACGGGAGGCAGCAGUGGGGAAUAUUGCACAAUGGGCGGAAGCCUGAUGCAGCAACGCCGCGUGCGGGAUGACGGCCUUCGGGUUGUAAACCGCUUUCGCCUGUGACGAAGCGUGAGUGACGGUAAUGGGUAAAGAAGCACCGGCUAACUACGUG
rnacentral:rRNA from 1 species